CUACGGAGGGGGUUAGCGUUGUUCGGAAUUACUGGGCGUAAAGCGCACGUAGGCGGACUGGAAAGUUGGGGGUGAAAUCCCGGGGCUCAACCCCGGAACUGCCUCCAAAACUUCCAAUCUAGAGAUCGAGAGAGGUGAGUGGAAUUCCAAGUGUAGAGGUGAAAUUCGUAGAUAUGUGGAGGAACACCAGUGGCGAAGGCGGCUCACUGGCUCGAUACUGACGCUGAGGUGCGUAAGCGUGGGGAGCAAACAGGAUUAGAAACCCCAGUAGUCC
rnacentral:rRNA from 1 species